rnacentral:rRNA from 1 species
AUAUAGGUCAAGCUACAAAGGGCGCAUGGUGAAUGCCUUGGCAUCAGGAGCCGAUGAAGGACGUGAUAAGCUGCGAUAAGCUUCGGGUAGGCGCACAUAGCCUGAGAUCCGAAGAUCUCCGAAUGAGGAAACUCACAUGGGAAACCCCAUGUAUCAUUAAGUGAAUACAUAACUUAAUGAAGGUAACCCAGGGAACUGAAACAUCUAAGUACCUGGAGGAAGAGAAAGAAAAAUCGAUUUUCUUAGUAGCGGCGAGCGAAAGGGAAAGAGCCCAAACCGGAAACUUGUUUCCGGGGUUGAGGACAUAACAUAAAGAGAAGUAAUGACUAAUUGAAGAGAACUGGAAAGUUCCACCGUAGAAGGUAAUAGUCCUGUAAAUGAAAGCUAGUAUAAUCGAGUUAUGAUCCAGAGUACCACGAGACACGUGAAACCUUGUGGGAAGCAGGGAGGACCACCUCCCAAGGCUAAAUACUACCUGAUGACCGAUAGUGAAGCAGUACCGUGAGGGAAAGGUGAAAAGAACCCCAGGAGGGGAGUGAAAUAGAACCUGAAACCGUGUGCCUACAACCGCUCAGAGCCCCUUAUGAGGGUGAUGAGGUGCUUUUUGUAGAACGAGCCAACGAGUUACGGUAUGUAGCAAGGUUAAGUACUUAAGGUACGGAGCCGAAGGGAAACCGAGUCUGAAUAGGGCGACUAGUUGCAUGCCGUAGACCCGAAACCGGGUGACCUAUCCAUGGCCAGGUUGAAGCGAGGGUAAAACCUCGUGGAGGACCGAACCACGUUGCUGUUGAAAAAGCAUGGGAUGAGCUGUGGAUAGCGGAGAAAUAGAAGCAGCCAUUCAUUAAAAGAGUGCGUAAUAGCUCACUAGUCGAGAGAUCUUGCGCCGAAAAUGUAACGGGGCUAAACUUACCACCGAAGCUACGGGCUUGAACUUACUAUCGUUAUUAUCGAUGGCGUGACGCAGGAGGAUAGUGUGUGCUAGCUAUUGGAUGCUAGUCUAAGCGUUUAGGCAGUGAGAGUAGGCAAAUCCGCUCUCAUAAUGCUGAGGCGUGAUGGGGAAGGUUCUACGGAACCGAAGUACAUGAUUCCACGCUGCCAAGAAAAGCGUCUAGAGAGAGAAGUAGUGCCCGUACCGCAAACCGACACAGGUAGGUGAGGAGAGAAUCCUAAGGCCGGCGGAAGAAUUACAGGUAAGGAACUCGGCAAAUUGACCCCGUAAGUUCGCGAGAAGGGGUGCCUACGAGAGUAGGCCGCAGAGAAUAGGCCCAAGCAACUGUUUAGCAAAAACACAGGUCUCUGCUAAAGCGUAAGCUGAUGUAUAGGGGCUGACGCCUGCCCGGUGCUGGAAGGUUAAGGGGAACACUUAGCGCAAGCGAAGGUGUGAACUUAAGCCCCAGUAAACGGCGGCCGUAACUAUAACGGUCC